rnacentral:rRNA from 1 species
UACGAAGGGGGCUAGCGUUGUUCGGAAUUACUGGGCGUAAAGCGCGCGCAGGCGGUCCUUUAAGUCAGGGGUGAAAGCCCAGAGCUCAACUCUGGAACUGCCUUUGAAACUAGAGGACUUGGGUACGGGAGAGGUGAGUGGAAUUCCGAGUGUAGAGGUGAAAUUCGUAGAUAUUCGGAAGAACACGAGUGGCGAAGGCGGCUCACUGGCCCGUUACCGACGCUCAGGCGCGACAGCGUGGGGAGCAAACAGG